rnacentral:rRNA from 1 species
AUUGAACGCUGGCGGCAGGCUUAACACAUGCAAGUCGAGCGGGGGAAGGUAGCUUGCUACCGGACCUAGCGGCGGACGGGUGAGUAAUGCUUAGGAAUCUGCCUAUUAGUGGGGGGACAACAUCUCGAAAGGGAUGCUAAUACCGCAUACGUCCUACGGGAGAAAGCAGGGGAUCUUCGGACCUUGCGCUAAUAGAUGAGCCUAAGUCGGAUUAGCUAGUUGGUGGGGUAAAGGCCUACCAAGGCGACGAUCUGUAGCGGGUCUGAGAGGAUGAUACGCCACACUGGGACUGAGCGACGGCCCAGACGCCUACGGGAGGCAGCAGUGGGGAAUAGUGGACAAUGGGGGGAACCCUGAUCCAGCCAUGCCGCGUGUGUGAAGAAGGCCUUAUGGUUGUAAAGCACUUUAAGCGAGGAGGAGGCUACUUUAGUUAAUACCUAGAGAUAGUGGACGUUACUCGCAGAAUAAGCACCGGCUAACUCUGUGCCAGCCGCCGCCGUAA